GCCAGCAUGGCGUAGUGGUUUGAACACUGGACUAGGGCUCUGGAGACCAGGGUUCAAAUCCUGGCUUGGCC